ACCCUACCCAGGGUAACAGUAAGACUCUGUCUCAAAAGACACGCACAUGUGUGAGCUGUGCCUCCCUGAAACCUUGUUAUGACAUCAGCACAUCACCCAUCUGAUG